rnacentral:tRNA from 1 species
GUUUUAAUAGUUUAAUAAAAACAAUGAUUUUGUAUAUCAUAAUUAGAUAAUUAUCUUUAAAACU